AACGCACAUUGCGCUCUCUGGUAUUCCGGAGAGCAUGCUUGUUUGAGUAUCAGUAAACACCUCAAUUUCAUGAUUCUUAAUUUUGAAAUUGGACUUGAGCAGAUCCCAACGUACAUUUAAUUAUAUGGAGGGUUGCUUCAAAUGCAGGUGCAGCCGAUCAUUCUUCUGGGCUAAAAGCAUUAUCUAGUUAAUCCCGUAAAACGGAUUAUUCACUUUAUUGCUGCAGCUUACCUUUAUAAAAGGAAGAAAUGGCCAUUGUGCUGACUGAUGCAGGAAUUCUCAGAGGUCUGUAAGGACUUUUGAAAACUCGAUCUCAAAUCAAGUAAGACUACCCGCUGAACUUAA
rnacentral:misc_RNA from 1 species